GACGGAAGGUGCAAGCGUUGCUCGGAAUCACUGGGCGUAAAGGGUGCGUAGGCGGCCGUGCAAGUCUGGCGUGAAAGCCCCGGGCUCAGCCCGGGAAGUGCGCUCGAAAACUGCGCGGCUCGAGUGCCGGAGGGGAGAGUGGAAUUCCUGGUGUAGCGGUGAAAUGCGCAGAUAUCAGGAGGAACACCGGUGGCGAAGGCGGUUCUCUGGGCAUUACCUGACGCUGAGGAGCGAAAGUGUGGGGAGCGAACAGG
rnacentral:rRNA from 1 species